CAGCAGGCGCGAAAACUUUACAAUGCCGGCAACGGCGAUAAGGGAACCUCGAGUGCCAGGUUACAAAUCUGGCUGUCGUGAUGCCUAAAAAGCAUUGCAUAGCAAGGGCCGGGCAAGGCCGGUGCCAGCCGCCGCGGUAACACCGGCGGCUCGAGUGGUAACCGUUAUUAUUGGGUCUAAAGGGUCUGUAGCCGGCCGGGUAAGUCUCUUGGGAAAUCUGGCAGCUUAACUGUCAGGCUUUCAGGAGAUACUGCCUGGCUCGAGGCCGGGAGAGGUGAGAGGUACUUCAGGGGUAGGGGUGAAAUCUUGUAAUCCUUGAAGGACCACCAGUGGCGAAGGCGUCUCACCAGAACGGACCUGACGGCAAGGGACGAAAGCUAGGGGCACGAACCGGAUUAGAUACCCGGGUAGUCCUAGCCGUAAACGAUACUCGCUAGGUGUCGGCCACGGUGCGACCGUGGUCGGUGCCGUAGGGAAGCCGUGAAGCGAGCCACCUGGGAAGUACGGCCGCAAGGCUGAAACUUAAAGGAAUUGGCGGGGAGCA
rnacentral:rRNA from 1 species